AGCCAGUGUUAGGUAUUUAUAUAUGGAAAGCUAGUUGUACUAACCUUUUCUAGAUCUAAUAUAUUGCAUUUCCUGGUCUUAAACUCACAUUCAGGAUUGAGCUUUUUGAAUGUAAUUUCCCCUACAUCUACUACCUUAUUUUUAAAAUCUUGCACUCCUUCCUUAGGCCUAAAAAUAGUGUGCUAGUGUGGUAGAUAUUAGGUCAAUUGUCAGCACCAGAACUAGACACUUUAUGUUCUUGGAAGGAUCUAGCAGAACACACCCACUUUACUGGCACCUUGGCCAGUCUCUGGGCAUGUUCCAUUCAGGCCUGCCUUGGAUGCCCCCAGACAUCAGCAGGGCUGGCUUUGGGGGCAGCAGUUUCACCUGACUAUAUUGUGCGAUGCCCUCCCUGAAGGGCUGGUUGCCUUCUGCCAGAAUUUGGAAACUUCUGAACUCCACAGCAAUCCUGCCCGUCUACUGCACAGGCUGCAUAUUUAGGAGGCAUCACAGGUCACAGAUAGAACUGCCAGGUAAAAUACAGGACGCCCCGUUAAAUUUGAAUUUCAGAUAAGAAAUAAUUUUGGGUAUAUGUAUAUCCCAAAUGUUGCAUGGAACAUAUUUAUACCAAAAAAUUAUUUGUUGUUUAUGUGAAAUUCAAAUCCAACUGGGCAUCCUGUAUUUUUCUUUGUUAAAAAGAAAAAAGAGCUUAUCACAGAGCUCUUCCCAAAAUAAUCCUCCACUAUGCUUCCUGCCACUACCUGCCCUCCCAGCUCCACAGUUCCUCCAUAAGAACUACAUUUAUUAAAGUGUUAAGAUAGCCUCGGCAGGAUAUUAACUAUAAAGGUCAAAGUUAAGAUUCACUUCUGAGGGCUGCACCUCUAACUUUAACCCGCAUCAUCAGGGAUUCAUUUACCAGAUCAGUAAACUUGUUAUUUGGGCACUAAGGACAUUUUAGUGAUGGUUGAGAGCAAGGGUGGACCAUGAAAAGUUUAGAUUCUCGUAGAUGUGUGUAGAGGUAGGGCUGGAAGUGGAGGUGGGUUUGGGGGUAUGUUAAAGCAAUGUAUGCAGGAAAGAGAAUAUUAAAGAGAACUUACACUGACAAUUUUGCCUGGCUGGGAUUCUUGUGUUAUUCCUUCCUUGCCUCCUGAUUUCCUUCCUUUUUUUUUUUUUUUU
rnacentral:lncRNA from 10 species